GAUUGUUCACCCACCAAUAGGGAACGUGAGCUGGGUUUAGACCGUCAUGAAAUAAGUUAGUUUUACCCUACUGGUGACAGUGUCGCAAUAGUAAUUUAACCUAGUACGAGAGGAACUGUUGAUUCACACAAUUGGUCAUCGAGCUUGGUUGAAAAGCCAGUGGUGCGAAGCUACCGUGCGCUGAAUUAUGACUGAACACCUCCAAGUCAGAAUUUGGGCUAGAAGCGACGCAUGCACCCGCCGCCUGCUUGCUGACCCACAGUAGGGGUCGUCCGACCCCCAAAGGCUCCGCCGCGCAGGCCGCCUUGAACUACACUUUCUAUCUGGAGCGGCAGGUAGAAUCCUUUGCAGACGACUUAAAUACGCAACGGGGUAUUGUAAGUGGCAAAGUGUCCUUGCUGCCAUGAUCCACUAAGAU
rnacentral:rRNA from 1 species